GACGAACGCUGGCGGCGUGCUUAACACAUGCAAGUCGAACGAUGAACCGGAGCUUGCUCUGGGGAUUAGUGGCGAACGGGUGAGUAACACGUGGGCAACCUGCCCCAGACACCGGGAUAACCAUUCGAAAGGAUGGCUAAUACCGGAUACGACCACUUCGGGCAUCCGAUGGUGGUGGAAAGGAUUCUGGUCUGGGAUGGGCCCGCGGCCUAUCAGCUUGUUGGUGGGGUAAUGGCCUACCAAGGCGACGACGGGUAGCCGGCCUGGGAGGGGGACCGGCCACACUGGGACUGAGACACGGCCCAGACUCCUACGGGAGGCAGCAGUGGGGAAUAUUGAGCAAGGGGCGAAAGCGUGACGCAGCGACGCCGCGUGAGGGACGAAGGUCUUCGGAUUGUAAACCUCUUUCAGCAGGGAUGAAGCGAAAGUGACAGUACCUGCAGAAGAAGCACCGGCUAACUACGUGCCAGCCGCCGCGGUAACAC
rnacentral:rRNA from 1 species